rnacentral:lncRNA from 1 species
GCCAUCACAGUAUCUGCCAUCAAAUCGAACCACAGAUCUACUUUUCGACUAAAAUGAUCAUGCAGUAGAUCUCCAUGUUAAGCUCCAUCAACUAACUUUUUAAAACUAAAUGUGAUAGAUGAUGCUGAAAUAGAUAGCGUUGUAAAUCUCACCAACUCCAUCAAAAAAAUUUAAAAAACAAUUAGGCUAAAAAAGCAAAAAAAUAGAAAAAUAUGAUAAAAGAAGGAAGACAAACCUCUUAUUCCACAG